UACGUAGGGGGCAAGCGUUGUCCGGAUUUAUUGGGCGUAAAGAGCGUGUAGGCGGCCAUACAGGUCAGCUGUGAAAACUCGAGGCUCAACCUCGAGACGUCGGUUGAAACCGUAUGGCUAGAGUCCGGAAGAGGAGAGUGGAAUUCCCGGGUGUAGCGGUGAAAUGCGCAGAUAUCGGGAAGAACACCUAUGGCGAAGGCAGCUCUCUGGGACGGUACUGACGCUGAGACGCGAAAGCGUGGGGAGCGAACAGG
rnacentral:rRNA from 1 species